rnacentral:rRNA from 1 species
AUUGAACGCUGGCGGCAUGCCUUACACAUGCAAGUCGAACGGUAGCACGGGUGCUUGCACCUGGUGGCGAGUGGCGAACGGGUGAGUAAUACAUCGGAACGUACCUUAUCGUGGGGGAUAACGCAGCGAAAGCUGUGCUAAUACCGCAUACGCCCUGAGGGGGAAAGCGGGGGAUCGCAAGACCUCGCGCGAUUAGAGCGGCCGAUGCCUGAUUAGCUUGUUGGUGGGGUAAAAGCCCACCAAGGCGACGAUCAGUAGCUGGUCUGAGAGGACGAUCAGCCACACUGGGACUGAGACACGGCCCAGACUCCUACGGGAGGCAGCAGUGGGGAAUUUUGGACAAUGGGGGCAACCCUGAGCCAGCAAUGCCGCGUGAGUGAAGAAGGCCUUCGGGUUGUAAAGCUCUUUUGUCAGGGAAGAAACACCGGCUCUAACACAGUCUGGGAAUGACGGUACCUGAAGAAUAAGCACCGGCUAACUACGUGCCAGCAGCCGCGGUAA